rnacentral:rRNA from 1 species
AAUGAACGUUGGCGGCGUGGAUUAGGCAUGCAAGUCGUACGGGCCAGCAAUGGCCAGUGGCGAAAGGGAGAGGAAUACGCAGGUAUCUACCUCCGGGUCGGGGAUAGCCACGGGAAACUGUGGGUAAUACCCGAUAAUGUCUCCGGACCAAAGGUGUGAUUCCACCUGGAGAGGAGCCUGCGUCCUAUUAGCUAGUUGGUGAGGUAAUGGCUCACCAAGGCUACGAUGGGUACGGGGUGUGAGAGCAUGCCCCCGCUCACUGGGACUGAGACACUGCCCAGACACCUACGGGUGGCUGCAGUCGAGAAUCUUCCGCAAUGGGCGCAAGCCUGACGGAGCGACGCCGCGUGUGGGAUGAAGGCCUUCGGGUUGUAAACCACUGUCGUAGAGGAGGAAGGACCGGUGCAGAGCCGGUUUUGACCUAUUCUAGGAGGAAGGGUGGGCUAAGUUCGUG